GUCGAGAAUCUUUCACAAUGGGGGCAACCCUGAUGGAGCGACGCCGCGUGGAGGAUAAGGUCUUCGGAUUGUAAACUCCUGUCAUGCGUGAACAAGGUUGCUUGGUUAAUACCUGGGCAAAUUGAUGGUAACGCAAGAGGAAGAGACGGCUAACUCUGUGCCAGCAGCCGCGGUAAUACAGAGGUCUCAAGCGUUGUUCGGAAUCACUGGGCGUAAAGGGUGCGUAGGUGGCGUGGUAAGUCAGAUGUGAAAGCCCGGGGCUCAACCUCGGAACUGCAUCCGAUACUGCCAGGCUAGAGUACUGGAGAGGUGACUAGAAGUCUCGGUGUAGCAGUGAAAUGCGUAGAUAUCGAGAGGAAUACCAAAGGCGUAGGCAGGUCACUGGACAGUUACUGACACUGAGGCACGAAGGCCAGGGGAGCGAACGGGAUUAGAAACCCCGGUAGUCC
rnacentral:rRNA from 1 species